CUCUCUCUCUCUCUCUCUCUCUCUCUUCACUCAAAUCGUCACUGGUAUGCGGGAAAACUGUGUACGAUGGUACACUAUUUUUAAACGCCGGCGCGCGCAAAAGGACGCGCCCGUGAGUGGGACAGGGGGGAAGGGGAAGGCGGUACACAGCCACAGACGAUCACUUUGUGGCGUCCCUCAACGAUGGGAGCACCGAACGCCAACACGGUUAAGACAUCAAUAUGAUCGAUUGCUGGUAUGGAAAGGGGUAGAGAGGGGGAAGGGGGAGGAAAGGGAAGGAUUGUGGAAUGCAAUGAAAGGUGGAUCUAGCACGCAAAAGCGUGAGUGAAUCUCGAAUCAAACCGCAAGAAUGUUUUUUUUACUAUACACGAACGGCGGGAUGGAUGCGCUCGCACCCCAAAAACCAGAAGGUGUCAGAAAUUGAGGUUAAAAAUGCAACAGUGUGCAAUACUGGCUGGCGGACUGUUGCAGCUGUGUUUGUGUGUGUGUGCGUGAGUGGGCUGUGCAAAUUCCUUUUCAUCGAAGGUUCGGCGUGUUUUGCCCUCUUCAUGUGUGCGUCUAAGGUUGAUUGAGUGGUUAAUGAAGGUAAAGGGGCAAUGGGUUUUAAGAACCACAUUCUUGCCCGAUUGAACACGAUCCAUCAUCACCCACCGUGUGUGAGUGUGUAUGCUUUUCAGAUUUAUUCAGUACCACGCAACAGUCAGCGCUUACUACGAGGGGACGAUCCAUAUGAGAAUUGAAAGCAAAUUGCCAGCUGUGCUAGGCGAAUGCCAAAUUUUUAUUUAAAUUAAUACAUCAUAGAACUAAAAUUUUGGCAACGUUUUGUAAAAAUGUUUUUAUUACAGAAAAUAUAAAUUUGAACACAAGAUCUUUUCAUGUAACGAAAUGUUAUUUUACUAAAAAUAAAAUACACACAAUAUUUCUCUAGUAAACUACGCCGCUCGCUGCAAAUCGUUGAUGCGUUUCGAUGGAGCAGCCUGGCCCCUCGUAAACUUGAUGCGGAAUGUGCCCCACAACCAUGCGCGCACAUGUGUGCGGAUGCUUGCCUGCCUGCCCCGAAACGAUGCUAUAAAAAAUCGUCAAUUCAAUUCGUUUCAACACCUCCCACUCUCCUUCCCACAGCCGUUUUGCUCGCGCCACGACGCGAAUGUGUGUGAAUCACUGGGCGUCUCCAUGGGUUCGGCUCAAAUUUUUAUGAAUGAACAAACCCGAAACCCAAUAAAACACUCGCUUUCGACAGGCUUGCUGACGGAUGUGCUGAUAUGCAUAAAGUUUAAUACGUCUUUUCAUUCCCACACAGCCAAAUAUUUUCGCCAUAAAUACAUAGUUUUCCUACCAAAUUCGAACCACACUCAUAUCUCAUCCACUUUGCCAACCGCUUCAUAAGUUGGUGCGGGGCGAGUUUGUUCCACUCAGCAACAUCAGCAAAGCUGUCAACGAUUCGCUAGCUCCCGCAACAACCAACCAAAAUCCACCAUUACAGACCCAUAAAUUAGAAACGGGACCCAUGCACACCACAUGUGUGUGUGUGUGUGGUUAUUAGUUUUGUUUACAUCACGGCUAACCCUCGGCAGGCCAAAGCACUUUCGCUGCUUUCGGUCAGGGUGGCGCUAGCACGGUUAUAAAUUACUGUCUCCACCGGUUCAGGAAUGUGCUUCCACCCACCGUGAGAUGGGAUUGUUUACGCGUGGUGGAUACUCCAGCACACGAACAUGUCAGGAAGGACAAAACCAAACGGAGAGAGGAUACCAGGGACACCUUUUUCUCCUUCAACCUGUUGCUACCGAACGUGCGAACAAGCGUGGCAACAAACUCACCGGUACCCAGCCUUGGCAAACCUUCGCAUUGUGAGUGUCAAUUAA